rnacentral:rRNA from 1 species
CUUGUACACACCGCCCGUCACACCAUGGGAGCGGGUUUUACCAGAAGUAGGUAGCUUAACCGCAAGGAGGGCGCUUACCACGGUGAGAUUCAUGACUGGGGUG